CAACACAUUUGAUUCAAGUCUUCCUUGAGAUCAUAAAUCUCACUAACAAAUAUUUUGUUUUUUUUUCAUCGAUCGUAAUACAAGGUAUGCGAUACUACCAUCGCUUCGGUACAAUAAUACUCGACAUAACAACAGAAUAAUAUGCACAUCGCUUCGGUACAAUAAUACUCGACAUAACAACAGAAUAAUAUGCACAGCUUACGCGACUCUUAUACCCCACGAUCCGCAAUAAAGUUUUGCUGACAAACCUACAUGCAACCAUCAAUUCUUUUGGAAUUCACAUGUUAUGGGGACC
rnacentral:lncRNA from 1 species